UACGGAGGAUGCGAGCGUUAUCCGGAAUCAUUGGGUUUAAAGGGUGCGUAGGCUGGUAUUUAAGUCAGUGGUGAAAUUUUCGUGCUUAACAUGAGAGCUGCCAUUGAUACUGGAUACCUUGAGUGUAUUUGAUGUGGGCGGAAUGUGUUGUGUAGCGGUGAAAUGCAUAGAUAUGACACAGAACACCGAUAGCGAAGGCAGCUCACAAAAGUUUACAACUGACGCUGAUGCACGAAAAGCGUGGGGGAUCAAAACAGG
rnacentral:rRNA from 1 species